CAUUGUGAUUUUGAUGAGUACUGUUUUGUCAGGAUGACUCUCUUUCUAAAUUCAAACUGCAUUACUUCCCAGGUAAUUUUUGAAGCCAUUCGGGGACUGUCUGUGAGAAGUGAUAUUGCCAUUGAUGAUGUUAAAUUCCAAGCCGGACCCUGCACAGAAAUGAAAGAUUUAACUCAGCAAUCAUCAGGAUAUUCUGAGGAUUUAAACGAAAUUGAGUUUUAAGAAAUGAUCUGAAUUGGAUCAACUAAACAAGAGCCAUACCUCUCUUCCAUCGAAAUGAAAGCAAAACGAAUGAAUACUGGACAGUCUUAUAACCAUUUCAUAAGUUAUAAAAUGACUUCACAGCACAGCACUCUUUUUCAUUACUUUUGCAAAAAAUACUGACUCAGGGCUUUUUGUUUUGUUUUGUUUCGUUUUGUUUCCUUUCUGCGUAUGACAACUGUUAUGAAAGCAGGCUGUUGAUUUUGCAAAGAUCACUCAUCUUAAUUUUGGUUCCAGUUAAAAAUGCAAAUGUACUGUAUUGCAGUCAUUUUAAAGUAUGCAAAUGAAGGGCACAAGCAAAAUGAGAUGUGCUCAUUUAACUGUGCAUUCAGUGAAUGUAUUGGGAGGAGACUAAGUCUUGCAGGUUUCUUUUUGAAUUUCAAGCAUCAUUAAUUAUUUUUAAAGUAAUAAUGUGAGGUGUCACUGGUAUCUGCAGAAUGAAUGCAGUGUUUUCAUGGUAACAAGUCAGGCUAAGAAAAUAAAAUCUUAUUGCCUAUGUUUUAUUCAUAGAAAGGGAGUAUUAAUUUUUAAAUAUUUUUACCAUAUGUGAUAACAAAGGAUCUCUUCACGAAUGUCCCAGGGUAAGUCAGUAUUAAUUAAUGCUGCAUUACAAGGCAAUGCUACUUUCUUUUUCCCCCCUUUGAACUCCUUUGAAAGUCACUCUGAACACAUGGAUUAGAAAUUGCACUCUUUUUUUGUAAAGCAAGCUUGAAAAUGUUUACGGACAUACACCCAAAAAUUUUUAGGAUAUGUUAAGCAAUUUUACCAGGUUUUUUUUUUAUAAUAAAUGGUUUGGUAAGGUUUUGAGUAAUAUGAAUUCAAGCAGAUAUACUAAACUACUGCUUUUUAUUUACAUGUUUAGAAAAUUGUAUAUACAUAUUUGUAUACCCAAACAGCUUUUCUAAGAUUACCUAAUAAAAGGUAAUUUGAAAAUUU